AAUGAAGGGUCAAGUACAAUUUGAAAAGAACUUGCUAAUCCGACUUGUUUUUUCAAAUUUUUUAUUUAACUGUUAUGAAAUAAUUACCAAUACAACUUAUUUAUAGAUAUGUAAGUCCAACAAAAGAGAGAUAAACAUAAAUGGAAGACGCCGAUGAUUUUCGCAAGGCGGCAAUUGGCAGCGAACCCGUACUCCUGGCUUCCAAGAACGAAUUUUCGGGACAGGCAUGCACACACACUUAGACAGUGUUCAUUUUAGGUUUGCAAGAAGGACAUGUCAUCCUACAUCUAGAGAAAGUAAAAUAUCAAAGCACAAUCCGAGAUUUCGAUGAAGACAACAAAUCAAUCUAUCGGAUCUUCGAUGUCCUUUUAUCGUCCUUUUAUGAGCAUUGCAGGAUGGCAAUAAGGGAAUUCUGAUUAGAGAUGGAGAGCGGCAUGUUCCUCACAAGAGGACUUUAUACUGUAGGGCCUUCCGCCUAAACUAUUCCUCUAGCGCAGCAAGCCAGGAUUUAAAAAAAGAGGAAUAAUGUGGUACCUGGUUGAAGCCAAGGAAUGUUGCACCGGAAAUGCAUGAAGUAUUCGCUUGGCAACCAUACUGGACGUUGGAGACGAUUGGCAGUAGGCUAAUCGGCCUGAAAGACUCAGCCUUAUCGAUCAGCUGUCAGGCUUGUUUGAGCAUAGAUUUUGAGUCUAUGUCACUUUUUCGUAAUUAAUCCCACAUCGAAUACUGCAAGCGACGUUUAAAAACAGGCAUUAUGUGGGGAAAGCUUAAGUUCAUAUAGAAAGCCUUCGCACCAGACCCAAUCAAAGCAAUGUUGCACCGGAAAUGCAUGAAGUAUGUGAUUGACAACCACAUUGAAAGUUGACCGGAAAGAUUCACCUGCCGUCUCAUGGAUAUUUAACUACAUCGAAUACUUGAGGAAACUUCAGAGAAACAUUGAAAAAACUUAAAAGGCUAUCAAGACAUUUUCUGUGCCUCAACCAGGGUCGAACACGCCAAAAACAGUCCCAUCUAAGACUACUCCGCAUUCUAAUCAAUAAAAUAAUUUUCGCAGCCCCAAGACUUAGUUAAGAAAUGCCAUUAAGUCCGUACUUAACGAAAACAACACCUCUCCUUGAGCAUCCAAAUUAUCAACUAUCUAUAAAAAAGUUUUAUUCUAUAUGUAUAUAAUACCAACUAGACAUAGAACUAGAAAACAGAAAGAGGUUUUCAUCAAAUAACUGAUUAUGAACGAGCGUCGAAUCACAAUCCGAGAAGUCGUUGAAGUUUACAAACCAAAUGGUUCAUGCCGUCCAUUACAACUUGAUGCCUCAAGUUCCUGGGUAUCUCGGGUGACAGAAGACCAUCUAUUCUGGACUAUGAUCGAAGAUACCAAAAGGUUAAGAACCUUACAUUUCCAAAGAUUUAUGGUUUCUUUUACUAGAAUCUUUAAUUUCAAAGGCCACUGAAACAAGAAUAAAUAUUGCGAAAAUCCAUUUAACAAUUACUUCAAAUUGAUAAAGCCUGAGGACUCAAACAGGCUUGGCGAAACAUCACCUAAGCCAACUGUGGUUUAAUAAAAAAUGUAUGCUAUUUUUGAUCCAAUACAAUAAACAAAACAUAAAAAAAAAAAUAUUUUAAUA